AGAUAUCAUAUAGAAGACUAGAUGCCCUAUUGGCCGCUGGGGACUGAGAAAUACGGCGGCCAUCUUAAACCGGUCGUUCUCCUAGUUUCGUUGCAUGGCAGCAGAUAAGAUGUCAGAGCACUGUGGAGCAUUUUCCUGUUCUAAUCGGCGGACGAUCGCAAAUAGAGCCCGGAGGAUUAUUUUCACAAGUACUUUUUAACAUCGCGGUACUAUUGGUUGUAUUUUGUGAAUAGAAUAUUACCAGAAAAUUGAGAAAGAGCCAGCUUAUUGAUUUUACUGUACUGAAAUCGUAGCCAGCCAACGUUCGCUAGGCUAUGUUUACUGCACCAGCCGCUGUUCACCCUGCAAGGAGAGAGGGGUGCUGUGAGCUGCGUGAUCCGCCGAGCUUUAAAAAGCUGAGAUGUCAACAGGAACAGAGGAUGUUUUCCUUCGUAGGGAGGACAUUGAGGAGACUCGGUUUGGAAUCGACAACUAUCAGUCUGACUCGUUGUCACUGGUUGUGUCUGUGUUUUUAAAGAUAAGGCUCCACCAUGUUGCCAAACUCACCUCUCUUGAACUACAGAAAGGGAGCACGGGAAAGAAGCUCUGGAAAACAGUCCUCUUUCAGGGGUGUGUGUGUGUGUGCGUGCGUGCGUGCGUGCGCGCGCGUGUGUGUGGGGGGGUUUACAAAUCAUUUUAAAUUGUUUCUUCACCAUAUUAAAAAGUCUUAUUUUAUUGCAACUAUCUGUUUCUGCAUCUUUGUCAUAUUUAUAGUGUGUGAUUUAUAAAAUAUCUUAUGUCCUACACCA